rnacentral:rRNA from 1 species
GUUUGAUCCUGGCUCAGAACGAACGCUGGCGGCAGGCUUAACACAUGCAAGUCGAACGCAUCCUUCGGGGUGAGUGGCAGACGGGUGAGUAACGCGUGGGAACGUGCCCUUCAGUUUGGAAUAACCCAGGGAAACUUGGGCUAAUACCGGAUACGCCCGCAAGGGGAAAGAUUUAUCGCUGAAGGAUCGGCCCGCGUCUGAUUAGCUGGUUGGUAGGGUAAUGGCCUACCAAGGCGACGAUCAGUAGCUGGUCUGAGAGGAUGAUCAGCCACACUGGGACUGAGACACGGCCCAGAUUCCUACGGGAGGCAGCAGUGGGGAAUAUUGGACAAUGGGCGCAAGCCUGAUCCAGCCAUGCCGCGUGAGUGAUGACGGCCUUAGGGUUGUAAAGCUCUUUCGCACGCGACGAUAAUGACGGUAGCGUGAGAAGAAGCCCCGGCUAACUUCGUG